AUUGAACGCUGGCGGCAGGCCUAACACAUGCAAGUCGAGCGGAGCGGCGGACGGGUGAGUAAUGCCUAGGAAUCUGACUGGUAGUGGUGGAUAACGUCCGGAACCGGGAGCUAAUACCGAUUACUAUCAGAUGAGCCUAUGUCGGAUUGGCUUGUUGGUGGGGUAAGGGCCUACCAAGGCGACGAUCCGUAGCUGGUCUGAGAGGAUGAUCAGUCACACUGGAACUGAGACACGGUCCAGACUCCUACGGGAGGCAGCAGUGGGGAAUAUUGGACAAUGGGCGAAAGCCUGAUCCAGCCAUGCCGCGUGUGUGAAGAAGGUCUUCGGGUUGUAAAGCACUUUAAGUUGGGAGGCGUUACCAGCAGAAUAAGCACCGGCUAACUUCGUGCCAGCAGCCGCGGUAAUUC
rnacentral:rRNA from 1 species